GAUGAAGAACGUAGCGAAAUGCGAUAAGUAGUGUGAAUUGCAGAAUUCAGUGAAUCAUCGAAUCUUUGAACGCACAUUGCGCCCCCUGGUAUUCCGGGGGGCAUGCCUGUCCGAGCGUCAUUACAACCCUCAAGCUCAGCUUGGUAUUGGGCCCCGCCGCUCCGGCGGGCCCUAAAGUCAGUGGCGGUGCCGUCCGGCUCCGAGCGUAGUAAUUCUUCUCGCUCUGGAGGUCCGGUCGUGUGCUCGCCAGCAACCCCCAAUUUUUUUCAGGUUGACCUCGGAUCAGGUAGGGAUACCCGCUGAACUUAAGCAUAUCAAUAAGCGGAGGA
rnacentral:misc_RNA from 1 species